rnacentral:lncRNA from 1 species
CUAGGAGGCAGCUGGCUUCUGCUACUCAGUGGUUUGCUAUCCACAGCAGCACGUGGCCCCAUGGAGAAAUAAAAUUUGAUGGGAGCAGCAAGAACUCUUGCGGCCUUGGGAAAAGUCAACUUUAUGUGUGAAAGAUCCUUGCAAUAUGAAUGAGUGGAGCAACUGGAAAAUUCCAGGACAAGAUGUUAAGAAUAACAAGAGGAUAAACAGCAGUGAAAACGGAUCAGAUGGCUAAUGACGGGCAGCAUCCUUGAACCUCAAAAUUGGGCUGCCUAUGCAUCUUUGCAGGUGGGUGUUGGGAUGUCUGCUUGGUGAGU